CCUUCACUGCGUUCUGCGCGCCUGCGCAGGGCGCGCGCAUGCGCAUCCCCUCAAGCGCCGGUCUUGGGGUGGGGCUGGAGUUCCGGGCGACCGGAGUGUUCUUCGGUCUUAUAUCUAAAUUUGUCUGGGGACCUCCUUGAAAUUUCUAAGUAGGCAGUUGUAUAAUCCGUGACUAUUGACAUUUACUUUCUCCUUUGGAACAUUUAAAUUUUAUUCUGUUAACUAGAACCUGAUAGUGGGCAUUCUGAGUUGUUUUUAACUAAGGCUGGCUCUCCUUGUGGUAGCAAGAUGGCUGCAUCUUCAUAUCCUCACACCACCGAAUUCAAUGGAAGAGUCUUACCAUUGCUUGCAGCAAGUCCUGCCAUUUACUCUUUCUUACUGGCCCCAGAUGAGUCAUGUGCUCAUGUGUGGAUCAAUCCUGUGGCUAAGGAGAUGAAAUGAUCUGCCCCACUCAGGGCUGAGACUGAGGUCUCACUUUAGCUGCAUCGCCAGCAUGGUGUUUCCAAGCAAAACUGUGUUGCUGGUGUGGAUGCCAGGCAAUAAACACACAAUUUCUGCUACAUGGAAAUUUCUCAUAACAUAAGAUCAUCUUUGAUCACAGUGACCUCUUCAACUUCUCCUAAGACAUGAGGCUGAACAUCUUCGAGAUUUAAAGUCAACUCCUCUUCUUCAAACAGUGCGCCACCAGCAGCAAUAGUUACACUGUUAAGCUGGUUCUUUCUACUGUCACCAAACCUUGGAGCUUUGACUGCUACAACCUGAAGACCAACUUUCAGCCUAUUCAAAAUGAGUGUACUUAGAGUUUCUCCAUCAACAUUUUCAGCAAUUAUGACCAAAGGCUUAUGCAGUGGGUAAAAGGUCUACACUUUGAAGCAUUAAGACUCAGGCAUCUGCACCAAGAAUUUUACAUCUUUGGCAUAAACCCAAGUGAGAUGAGGAGCCAGAACCCUCAGCACUGCUCUCAUCUGACGAAAGACUGCAGGUAAUUGAAGCAUUUCUGCAGGGUGGUGGCAGGGCUUGCACACGCUGAUACGGGCUGUCGGUGGUGAGUGAGGGAGCUUGUUGUAUUUCUUAAAGGAAAGGCUUUCAGCUUUUCCUCGUUGAGUAUGAUGUUAGCUGUGGGUUUGUCAUAUAUACCCAGUUUGUGUGUAUUUUUACCCACAACGUGUUGAGCAUUUUUUAUCAUAAGGGAACGUUGAAUUUUAUUGAAUGCUUUUUCAGCAUCUAUUGAAAUGAUUACAUGCCUUUUGUUCUUGAUUCUGUUGACAUGAUGUAUCACACUUGUUAUUGAUUUAUACAUGCUGAACCAUCCUUGUAUCCCCGGGAUGAAUCCCACUUGAUCAUGGUAAAUGACCUUUGUAAUGUGUUGUUGCAUUCAGUUUGCUAAUAUUCCAUUGAGGAUUUUUGCAUCUAUGUUCAUCAAGGAUAUUGGCCUGUAGUUUUCUUUUUUUUUAAUUGUGUUCUUGUCUGGUUUUGGUAUGUCAGGUUUGUGUGUGUGUGUGUAUGUUUAACAUUAGUGACUCCAUUUUGAUUCUGACAACUUUCACAGUAGUUACUGAAAUAAUAAUCUAAGAUAGAUAAUUUUUUUCAUUAUUUCUAUUUUUUCUUCUGAGACGGGGUCUCAUUCUGUCACCUAGGCUGGAGUGCAG